rnacentral:misc_RNA from 1 species
GACAUUGCCUACGCACGAACACUAGAUAGUUAUAAUGAGGCCCUAGGCAAGAUCUGUUCUUUUCGCAGGGAAUUGUAUGAUUGGGUAAUAGCCAGCCAGCCAGAACGUUGGUCAAAUGCCUUGUUUAGGAAACCUCGGUGGGAUCAUCUGAAUUGUAAAUCUACAGAUUCUCUGAACUCUUUUAUAGAGGAAGAGAAGUUUGUACAUGUCCUG